rnacentral:rRNA from 1 species
GGGUUGUGAGGUUAAGCGACUAAGCGUACACGGUGGAUGCCCUGGCAGUCAGAGGCGAUGAAGGACGUGCUAAUCUGCGAUAAGCGCCGGUAAGGUGAUAUGAACCGUUAUAACCGGCGAUUUCCGAAUGGGGAAACCCAGUGUGAUUCGUCACACUAUCAUUAACUGAAUCCAUAGGUUAAUGAGGCGAACCGGGGGAACUGAAACAUCUAAGUACCCCGAGGAAAAGAAAUCAACCGAGAUUCCCCCAGUAGCGGCGAGCGAACGGGGAGGAGCCCAGAGCCUGAAUCAGCAUGUGUGUUAGUGGAAGCGUCUGGAAAGGUGCGCGAUACAGGGUGACAGCCCCGUACACAAAAGCGCAUGUGCUGUGAGCUCGAUGAGUAGGGCGGGACACGUGGUAUCCUGUCUGAAUAUGGGGGGACCAUCCUCCAAGGCUAAAUACUCCUGACUGACCGAUAGUGAACCAGUACCGUGAGGGAAAGGCGAAAAGAACCCCGGCGAGGGGAGUGAAAAAGAACCUGAAACCGUGUACGUACAAGCAGUGGGAGCACAGGUUUACCUGUGUGACUGCGUACCUUUUGUAUAAUGGGUCAGCGACUUAUAUUCUGUAGCAAGGUUAACCGAAUAGGGGAGCCGGAGGGAAACCGAGUCUUAAUUGGGCGUUAAGUUGCAGGGUAUAGACCCGAAACCCGGUGAUCUAGCCAUGGGCAGGUUGAAGGUUGGGUAACACUAACUGGAGGACCGAACCGACUAAUGUUGAAAAAUUAGCGGAUGACCUGUGGCUGGGGGUGAAAGGCCAAUCAAACCGGGAGAUAGCUGGUUCUCCCCGAAAGCUAUUUAGGUAGCGCCUCGUGAAUUCAUCUCCGGGGGUAGAGCACUGUUUCGGCUAGGGGGCCAUCCCGGCUUACCAACCCGAUGCAAACUGCGAAUACCGGAGAAUGUUAUCACGGGAGACACACGGCGGGUGCUAACGUCCGUCGUGAAGAGGGAAACAACCCAGACCGCCAGCUAAGGUCCCAAAGUCAUGGUUAAGUGGGAAACGAUGUGGGAAGGCCCAGACAGCCAGGAUGUUGGCUUAGAAGCAGCCAUCAUUUAAAGAAAGCGUAAUAGCUCACUGGUCGAGUCGGCCUGCGCGGAAGAUGUAACGGGGCUAAACCAUGCACCGAAGCUGCGGCAGCGACGCUGAUGCGUUGUUGGGUAGGGGAGCGUUCUGUAAGCCUGCGAAGGUGACCUGUGAGGGUUGCUGGAGGUAUCAGAAGUGCGAAUGCUGACAUAAGUAACGAUAAAGCGGGUGAAAAGCCCGCUCGCCGGAAGACCAAGGGUUCCUGUCCAACGUUAAUCGGGGCAGGGUGAGUCGACCCCUAAGGCGAGGCCGAAAGGCGUAGUCGAUGGGAAACGGGUUAAUAUUCCCGUACUUGGUGUUACUGCGAAGGGGGGACGGAGAAGGCUAUGUUGGCCGGGCGACGGUUGUCCCGGUUUAAGCGUGUAGGUGUGUGUUCCAGGUAAAUCCGGUUCACUUUAACACUGAGGCGUGACGACGAGGCACUACGGUGCUGAAGCAACAAAUGCCCUGCUUCCAGGAAAAGCCUCUAAGCAUCAGGUAACACGAAAUCGUACCCCAAACCGACACAGGUGGUCAGGUAGAGAAUACCAAGGCGCUUGAGAGAACUCGGGUGAAGGAACUAGGCAAAAUGGUGCCGUAACUUCGGGAGAAGGCACGCUGACACGUAGGUGAAGUGAUUUACUCAUGGAGCUGAAGUCAGUCGAAGAUACCAGCUGGCUGCAACUGUUUAUUAAAAACACAGCACUGUGCAAACACGAAAGUGGACGUAUACGGUGUGACGCCUGCCCGGUGCCGGAAGGUUAAUUGAUGGGGUCAGCGCAAGCGAAGCUCCUGAUCGAAGCCCCGGUAAACGGCGGCCGUAACUAUAACGGUCCUAAGGUAGCGAAAUUCCUUGUCGGGUAAGUUCCGACCUGCACGAAUGGCGUAAUGAUGGCCAGGCUGUCUCCACCCGAGACUCAGUGAAAUUGAACUCGCUGUGAAGAUGCAGUGUACCCGCGGCAAGACGGAAAGACCCCGUGAACCUUUACUAUAGCUUGACACUGAACAUUGAGCCUUGAUGUGUAGGAUAGGUGGGAGGCUUUGAAGUGUGGACGCCAGUCUGCAUGGAGCCGACCUUGAAAUACCACCCUUUAAUGUUUGAUGUUCUAACGUGGACCCGUAAUCCGGGUUGCGGACAGUGUCUGGUGGGUAGUUUGACUGGGGCGGUCUCCUCCUAAAGAGUAACGGAGGAGCACGAAGGUUGGCUAAUCCUGGUCGGACAUCAGGAGGUUAGUGCAAUGGCAUAAGCCAGCUUGACUGCGAGCGUGACGGCGCGAGCAGGUGCGAAAGCAGGUCAUAGUGAUCCGGUGGUUCUGAAUGGAAGGGCCAUCGCUCAACGGAUAAAAGGUACUCCGGGGAUAACAGGCUGAUACCGCCCAAGAGUUCAUAUCGACGGCGGUGUUUGGCACCUCGAUGUCGGCUCAUCACAUCCUGGGGCUGAAGUAGGUCCCAAGGGUAUGGCUGUUCGCCAUUUAAAGUGGUACGCGAGCUGGGUUUAGAACGUCGUGAGACAGUUCGGUCCCUAUCUGCCGUGGGCGCUGGAGAACUGAGGGGGGCUGCUCCUAGUACGAGAGGACCGGAGUGGACGCAUCACUGGUGUUCGGGUUGUCAUGCCAAUGGCACUGCCCGGUAGCUAAAUGCGGAAGAGAUAAGUGCUGAAAGCAUCUAAGCACGAAACUUGCCCCGAGAUGAGUUCUCCCUGAGACUUAGAGUCUCCUGAAGGAACGUUGAAGACGACGACGUUGAUAGGCCGGGUGUGUAAGCGCAGCGAUGCGUUGAGCUAACCGGUACUAAUGAACCGUGAGGCUUAACCUUACAACGCCGAAG